rnacentral:rRNA from 1 species
AGGACGAACGCUGGCGGCGUGCCUAACACAUGCAAGUCGAGCGAGGAGAUUCCUUCGGGAUGAUCCUAGCGGCGGACGGGUGAGUAACACGUGGGCAACCUGCCUCAUAGAGAGGAAUAGCCUUCCGAAAGGGAGAUUAAUACCUCAUAACAUUGCAGUUUCGCAUGGAACAGCAAUUAAAGGAGUAAUCCGCUAUGAGAUGGGCCCGCGGCGCAUUAGCUAGUUGGUGAGGUAAUGGCUCACCAAGGCGACGAUGCGUAGCCGACCUGAGAGGGUGAUCGGCCACAUUGGGACUGAGACACGGCCCAGACUCCUACGGGAGGCAGCAGUGGGGAAUAUUGCACAAUGGGGGAAACCCUGAUGCAAGCAACGCCGCGUGAGUGAUGACGGCCUUCGGGUUGUAAAGCUCUGUCUUCAGGGACGAUAAUGACGGUACCUGAGGAGGAAGCCACGGCUAACUACGUGCCAGCCGCUGC